UGAACAAUGUGUCAAGAUCAAACAAGAGAGAGGAACUUUAAGGAUUGAGCUCAGCUAUACAAAAAAAAAGAAAAAGAGAAAAGAAAACAGGACAGAGUGAGCCAGCAGGGACAUAUAAGAGAAAUGUUUGACUUGAAGAACACGAUGUGUUUUCCCAAAGAGGUUUAUGGAAGGAAGCUUCAGUCGCAUACUCAUGUCACAAUGAGGACAUCACUGGAAGUUCUGCAUUCUUGGUGUACUUGACAGUGAUGAUAAACUAUACAAUGUAUUGAAACACAAUCACAGCAGGAAUGUGAGAGUUCAGAAAAUGACAUUGUUAAAUGUGUGACUCUAUAAAAAUUGUGGCAAGAUGCAAGGAGAAAUGCUAUGUGUAGACUAAGAAAAUAUUAGGUACAAAGGUG